GACCCAAUGGCACAACGGUUAGUGCACUUGCUUUCAGUGGUGAGGUUAACAUUCAACAAAUUAAGCACGAGGUUCCCCGUUUGAUUCGGGGUUGGGUCA